UACGAAGGGGGCUAGCGUUGUUCGGAAUCACUGGGCGUAAAGGGUGCGUAGGCGGGUUUUUAAGUCAGAGGUGAAAUCCUGGAGCUCAACUCCAGAACUGCCUUUGAUACUGGGAAUCUUGAGUAUGGAAGAGGUGAGUGGAACUGCGAGUGUAGAGGUGAAAUUCGUAGAUAUUCGCAAGAACACCAGUGGCGAAGGCGGCUCACUGGUCCAUAACUGACGCUGAGGCACGAAAGCGUGGGGAGCAAACAGG
rnacentral:rRNA from 1 species